CAAGAUUACAACACAACUGGCCUGGAAGAAAAGGGGAUGCAGAAGAAUGAGGUCUGGUGGGUGCACCCGGCGGAAGGACACCAAAUCACUGCCUUCUAUUGUGGGGACAAACCAGAUAACGGUUAACUCUGAAAAACAAGGACUAGUAUUAGAAGCGCCUUAAUUUAGAGACCUGGAGGUAAAUACCAAAAGAAUCAUCUGAAAGAGGUCUACACUGGGAGCCAAAGGACCUGCUGUGACCAGGGUCUGCCCGCACAUCCGGCUGCAGAGCAGUUGCCCACUCCUUGGCUCUGGAGACCAUCUCAUUAGACCAGUAGCCCCACAUCGUGGGAUCACUAUGUUUAAUGUCUGGAGACGCAUGCCUGCCCCCAAAUAUGCUUCUAUCCUUGAGAAGACAUGAAUAGAAGGCAAAAUCAUCGAGUUGAUAAAUGCAUCUAUUAAAAAUAUUGUGAUCACC